rnacentral:ncRNA from 1 species
GAAUAGAGGCGCGCCAUGUCAUCAGUAUCCUGCGGGAGACGCCCGGGUCCGUGACGGCAGAGGAAAGGGGCUGGCGCCGAAGGAACGGCUUUGGGAAAGCCGGUUUCUGGCUUCACGGUGAAGAACCGUGCGGCUGUCAUCAUGAUCUUGAUGGGGCGCUAUUC